GAUGUGGGUUCUAGUAUAUUUGAUGUCGCUAGGAAAGUGAUUGGUGUUGCGGUUGAAGUUGUGAAGCCUGGGAUUGAUGCUGCAUUGCCUAUUUUAAAGCAGGUAGGAGAGCAAGCUCUGAAGCUUGCUUCCCCUGCAAUUUCAAAGGCAUCUAAGAAAGCUCAAGAGGCAAUUCAGAGCUUUGGCAUUGACACAAAGCCUGUGAUAACUGCAGCUAAGACAGUUUCUGAUGUAGCACAAAAAACUACCAAAGUGAUUGAAGAUGCCAAGCCUAUAGCCUCAUCUGCUGUGGAAACCAUCUUAUCAGCUGACCCUAUUACAAUUGUAGGUGCUGGUGGUGCCCUAUUCUUUGCGUAUCUCCUGUUUCCUCCUGUCCUUUCUGCCAUCUCUUUCAGUCUUCAAGGGUGCAAGGCACUUGCAUGAUCAACUACAACUGAAGAUUAAAACUUCACAUCUUCGUGGCCGCAGCACAACCAAGAGGCAAGCAAUUGAGCUUGACUGCUUGAGGAGUGAAAUUGAAGAGCAUCGAAGAAGGGUAGAUGCGGCAAAGGAACGAGCUACACAAAUUGCAGAAGAAUUCAAUGCCUAAAAGGAGCUAAUUAAGAACUUGCAAGAGCAGCAACUUGAAACUAGGGGGUUGUACGAGGAGUUUAUUGCCCAAAUGAAAGACUUGCACAAAUGACAGACUAUUGAAAAGUCUAGCUUGAUAUCGAUCAUGUGGAGGCUGUUGGAUAUGAUGAUAGAGAUGGUUGAAGUCUGACAUUGGUGCUAUGGUCUAUGCUUUAGUUUAGGAAUCUAGUACUCUUUUUUUUUGGAAGGAUAUGUAUUGUUCAUUACUGCUUGAACUUAUUAUGUGGGUUUUGGG